rnacentral:rRNA from 1 species
UACAGGGGGUGCAAACGUUGCUCGGAAUUAUUGGGCGUAAAGGGCUCGUAGGCGGUCUGUCGCGUCGGGAGUGAAAACUCAGGGCUUAACCCUGAGCCUGCUUCCGAUACGGGCAGACUAGAGGUAUGCAGGGGAGAAUGGAAUUCCUGGUGUAGCGGUGAAAUGCGCAGAUAUCAGGAGGAACACCGGUGGCGAAGGCGGUUCUCUGGGCAUUACCUGACGCUGAGGAGCGAAAGUGUGGGGAGCGAACAGG